rnacentral:misc_RNA from 1 species
GAAAAUCAAAGAGCUAUUUCUGGGGAACAACGGUCAAGUUAAUCAUAAUAUUUUAUAAACAAGAAACUCUCUCUCCAUCUCUGGGUUCAAUUCCUCUUAAGUUUUAACCACGUGGUGGAAAGAUCCCGUCAGGGGGCUAGUUCAACUGUCGAUUUUUCAAUCUCUGAUCGCCUGUAGAGCUCCGGCUCUGAAGUGUUCUCCCGUAGCUAUUGCUCGAGGCGCAUUUUUAAACGAAGGAAAAGCAAAUCCUGUGUCUCCGGAUUAAUGGAUUCUGGAGCAUCUGCCUGAUCCAAUUACAUAGGAUAUUGUUUAAAUUUUCUCCUUUUGCUUGUGCCAAGU